ACGGAGGGUGCAAGCGUUGUUCGGAAUUACUGGGCGUAAAGGGGGCGUAGGCGGUUGUGUUAGUCAGAUGUGGAAUACUUUAGCUCAACUGGAGAAAGCAUUUGAUACUGCAUGACUAGAGUACAGGAGAGGGAAAUGGAAUUCCCGGUGUAGAGGUGAAAUUCGUAGAUAUCGGGAGGAACACCAGUGGCGAAGGCGAUUUCCUGGCCUGAUACUGACGCUGAGGCGCGAAAGCGUGGGGAGCAAACAG
rnacentral:rRNA from 1 species